CCUAAAAUGAAGAUUGCGGCACGUCUGUAAGAAUUGACAGCUGUACGUUCAAGUUUUCUGUUGGUUUCUAUGCGUUUGUAAAUCAUGACUUUCUCUUGUAUCUCAUCUGAGUAUAUGAGAGAAAGCCAUGACUUACACACGCAUAUGAAACAAAGUGCAGUCAUAGAUAGAUUACAGAUCUGAAUCGGCAAGGGAGAUCAGCUGCUAGAGUAUGGAUCUUCACUCCCCUGGGUUGCAUCUAUCUGGGUGGGGAAGUGGUAAGCUCAGCGAAGAGAAGAUGCUGUCUUGUGAUCACGUGCGCACCUAAACUAGACAUUUAAUAUUUUUUUUCCUUAAGAUUUUCAAUACAAAUGAAAGACUAAAUUAGCUCAUAUGUCUGUCGAUCACAUUCCUAUUUGGAAUUCUUUCCAAUAGACUCUACAAAGAAUGGUGAUA